AUGGGGCAGAAAAUAAGGCGAUUCAGAGGCUCUGGAGAGCUCUCAGAACUACAGCUUGGCUUGAGUUCCCACUCUACCUUUUGGUGGUGCAACUGGCUACGUCAGACUCUGAACUAUUAACACCUGCAGAGUUUUCUCUUCUCCAGGCCCUGCUCCAUCUCAAAAGUUUCCGGCACCACCGUGGCUGCCUUUGUUUCUCUUGUCCUUUCAUUUAGGUGGCUCUUUGCCAGUGAUGGUAGCUCAUAAAGAUGACUAACAGUCAUAAAAUGAACCGAGUUGUUUUUCCAUGCAAUAGUGAUUCUUUGCAGUUAUAAUUCUUCUGAACUGACAGCUAAGAAGUGAAAAAAGGUGCGGUAAUUGAAAUUAAUUUCCCCUUUAAACAGUGGUUGUUUUCCACCCUCGAAGUUCUUCUGGCGGCAAUGCGUACUCUCGCCAGCAGGGGGCAGUGUUCAUCUUUAAAUGACGUGAGCCUGGCAGGCCCGGCUCCCAGAGUUCGCAAACCCCACCGUGUCCCAGGAUCCUAGGCCCUCCAGAGCCCAUACUGAAGUUCUUCUACACACAACGUCUCCUGAAUGCAAAUCUUAUGGACUGAGACGAGGUCUCACUAUGUUGCCCUGGCUAGUCUCCAAUUCUUGCUGUCUCGCGAGCCUCCCAUCUUGGCCUCCCAAAGUCCUGGGAUUACAGGGAUGAGCUACCAUGUCCAGCCCCAGAUCCAACUCUAAGAAAACACAGUCCAUCAGUCACUGAAGAGCACGUCAGUGUAUCCGUCUCUCCCUGUGUGAAUCCUGUUACUUGGACUUGUGUAGAGGUUGCAGUUUCAUCUUUCGUGUAGUAAUGACUGGCAUCAAUUUAUAUCGAUACAAUGAAAAAUUCUAAAGAACACUUUGUGGUAGAGAAAUAAAGGAGAUCUCGUCUUUGAAGAUGCAGAAUAUGGCAAGUAACUUUCCAGUAAAUCAUUCUAUUUUAGUGGAGGAGUUUUGAAGGAAGAUAAGCCCUGAGUUUCCUGAUUAUGUAUAAUUCAAAAAUAGAUAUUCAAAAGUCUCAGAGAUAACAUUCUUCUGUAUAGAUAGAAGAGUUUGCUUUGUCUAUAGAUCCCAUUGUACAGCUUGAAGAAGAGAAGAAUUAUUUUCUCAAAAUCUCAAAAAUCAUAUUUCUGCAAUUUUCUCAAUCUCAGAAUCACAUCUAAUUUCUGAUCAAAUUGGCAACACUCUCUAGUUCUAAGUGUUCAGUUCAUCUGGAAAGAACUUGGUGCAAUUUGUGUAAUUACUUUACAGCUAUCUGCAAAACAAACUGUGGGAGUCACGUCUCUGUCGAUGAAUGUAUAGAUUCAGGUCACUAGAACAUAAUCCUGAAACUGACAUUCUCUGUAAGAUUUUUCUCCUCUUUCGGUUCUCCUUUUUUUUUUUUUUUUUUUUUUUUUUUUGAGAAA
rnacentral:lncRNA from 1 species